GAUGAACGCUAGCGGGAGGCUUAACACAUGCAAGUCGAGGGGCAGCACGUCUUCGGAUGGUGGCGACCGGCGCACGGGUGCGUAACGCGUAUGCAACCUACCCUAUGCUGGGGGAUAGCCCGGGGAAACCCGGAUUAAUAUCUCAUAGGACAUUAGUAUCGCCUGGUACAGAUGUUAAAGAUUUAUCGGCAUAAGAUGGGCAUGCGUCUGAUUAGCUGGUUGGUAGGGUAACGGCCUACCAAGGCGACGAUCAGUAGGGGUUCUGAGAGGAACAACCCCCACACUGGUACUGAGACACGGACCAGACUCCUACGGGAGGCAG
rnacentral:rRNA from 1 species